UGGGCUUCAUGGUUGAUCCGAGCUUGGAUGGCAACCGAGAUAAGGUCGGAUGUUAUUGUCUAGCCAAUGAGAUGGAUUCGAUGACCACAAUCCACCACAACGACAGCGUCGCAGAUGCUCAUCAUAUUGUAUAAAGAAAGUUCUGGGUGGUGGCUUCAAUGUCUUCACAAGAGGAAGAUCCCCCGUCAGGAGACAAUCAGAAUCUUAACAAAGAAUCACAUUUUUAGAGAGGGAAAAAACGGGAAAACUUUCUAUACAUACAAUCGUCCUCGGAGACCGCGUAGCACUUCUGCGCUUCCAUCGUCGACUGUGAGGGGGAUGUUGAAAAGGAAUCCGAUGGAGAGGAUGUGCAUACUUUCCCUAUUGGUUGCGUUUUUCCUUAGUUUGCAAUUGGUUGUUUACUACAAAGACUUUUGCUACAUGUGGAUUUCUCUAGCCCACCAUCUUGUUGCUAAAAGUUGUUUAUACAAAGUAGGAGAGGAUGUGAUAUGAUAAUGAGGAUGCGUCAGCUUUAAAAAAUGAAGAUUUGGUUCCUAGAGCAUCACUUGGAAGCAAUAUGGCCAACGAUGGUGUUUUCUCCAGUUUUGAAGAUGAUGAUGAUAGUGUGUUCACGUCGAGCCCUGUGUUUUACUUCGAAGACGCGCCUGAGUCGCCACCACCAAGCUAUGAAUCAGUUUGUGUGGUAUCAAAUGAAAAUGAUCACAGGGUACCACCACCAGACAAUGAUCAUCGGGUACCACCUCCUGACAGUGA